UCCCCCUUGAUCAUCCAUCUUGUAUUACGUGGUGCCUCGUUAAAAACUUAGUCAUGGAAAACCCAAUGGGAAAAACCGUAGUAAAAGUAAAAAGAGUACAACUACGUAAGCUCCCCCUCGAAUGAGUAGUCAUAGAACCUUUAGAACAAUGAUAGAUUUUCAUUUCUCAAAUUGUAACAUUCUCUUUGGGUGUCUAUCUUUUGUAUGUUCUUUGUUGCCUCGUUAAAACCUUGUCAUGGAAAACCCCAAUGGGAUAAAAAAAAAACCAUGAUAAGGAAAAAGAGUACAACCACACUUACUAUCGUAUUUCUUUCUCUGGAAACAAUAUCUUCAGGAUAUGCAUUCCAA
rnacentral:lncRNA from 1 species